rnacentral:rRNA from 1 species
GACGAACGCUGGCGGCGUGCUUAACACAUGCAAGUCGAACGGAAAGGCCCUGCUUUUGUGGGGUGCUCGAGUGGCGAACGGGUGAGUAACACGUGAGUAACCUGCCCUUGACUUUGGGAUAACUUCAGGAAACUGGGGCUAAUACCGGAUAGGAGCUCCUGCUGCAUGGUGGGGGUUGGAAAGUUUCGGCGGUUGGGGAUGGACUCGCGGCUUAUCAGCUUGUUGGUGGGGUAGUGGCUUACCAAGGCUUUGACGGGUAGCCGGCCUGAGAGGGUGACCGGCCACAUGGGGCCUGGGAUAGGGCCAAGACUCCAACGGGAGGAAGAAGUGGGGAAUAUUGCAAAAUGGGCGGAAGCCUGAUGCAGAAACGCCGCGUGGGGGAUGACGGCCUUCGGGUUGUAAACGGAUUUCGCCUGUGACGAAGCGUGAGUGACGGUAAUGGGUAAAGAAGCACCGGCUAAUUACGG